CCUACGGGGGGCUGCAGUGGGGAAUAUUGGACAAUGGGGGCAACCCUGAUCCAGCCAUGCCGCGUGUGUGAAGAAGGCCUUCGGGUUGUAAAGCACUUUCAGUGAGGAAGAACGCCUGGUGGUUAAUACCCAUCAGGAAAGACAUCACUCACAGAAGAAGCACCGGCUAACUCCGUGCCAGCAGCCGCGGUAAUACGGAGGGUGCGAGCGUUAAUCGGAAUUACUGGGCGUAAAGCGCGCGUAGGUGGCUUGAUAAGCCGGUUGUGAAAGCCCCGGGCUCAACCUGGGAACGGCAUCCGGAACUGUCAAGCUAGAGUGCAGGAGAGGAAGGUAGAAUUCCCGGUGUAGCGGUGAAAUGCGUAGAGAUCGGGAGGAAUACCAGUGGCGAAGGCGGCCUUCUGGACUGACACUGACGCUGAGGUGCGAAAGCGUGGGUAGCAAACAGGAUUAGAUACCCGAGUAGUC
rnacentral:rRNA from 1 species